rnacentral:rRNA from 1 species
AGUGAACGCUGGCGGUAGGCCUAACACAUGCAAGUCGAACGGCAGCACAGUAAGAGCUUGCUCUUACGGGUGGCGAGUGGCGGACGGGUGAGGAAUACAUCGGAAUCUACUUUUUCGUGGGGGAUAACGUAGGGAAACUUACGCUAAUACCGCAUACGACCUACGAGUGAAAGCAGGGGAUCUUCGGACCUUGCGCGAUUGAAUGAGCCGAUGUCGUAUUAGCUAGUUGGCGGGGUAAAGGCCCACCAAGGCGACGAUCCGUAGCUGGUCUGAGAGGAUGAUCAGCCACACUGGAACUGAGACACGGUCCAGACUCCUACGGGAGGCAGCAGUGGGGAAUAUUGGACAAUGGGCGCAAGCCUGAUCCAGCCAUACCGCGUGGGUGAAGAAGGCCUUCGGGUUGUAAAGCCCUUUUGUUGGGAAAGAAAAGCGGCAGGUUAAUACCCCGCUGUUCUGACGGUACCCAAAGAAUAAGCACCGGCUAACUUCGUG